CAGAUAGAACUAUUAUACCCUGACUAUAAUACAAGUAGAUAGUAUAUCAGUAACUAAAGUAACAGAUAGAAAUAUUAUACCCUGACUAUGAUAGAAGUAGAUAGUAUAUCAGUAACUAAAGUAGCAGAUAGAAAUAUUAUACCCUGACCUCGAAGCCACAAAAGUAACGCAUAUGCAGAUUUGACUUUUCCUCUUGAAGUUUUAUUUCUAGCUUUGGAGAUACGUAACCGUUAUUAAUAUAAAAGUUAAAUGUAUUUUUCAAUAUUCAUAUCACUUAUUAUUAACAAAUGCAGGUGUCAAAUCUACUGGUCUUCAGACACUUCAGUAUUUAGGCAUUUGACCACCAAUGGCGGAGUCAUGGGUUUGAUUCCCAGGCCAUUUUGUCAUACAAUAAAUUUAACAUCAGCAGUAAAACAGAACAUAAAAAUUACAACAACAAAGCCCCUAUGAUCAAUAGGAAGUGGUGGUGAGUACAUAUAGCUCGAUGCAGGGGAUUGUUUUCCUGUACAGGAAAUCAUCACUAAGAGUCGCUAAGUAAGUAAUAAGAUUUUGUGUACCAAGAAAAUCAAAUCUCCACAUAUUUAUCUGCUAUGGGAACAUCGCAUUAGCUAAUUGGUUUUGGUUUACUCAUCAUAGUCAAAGUCAUAUGAUCUUAAAACUGAGGACAAAUUCCUGAAUUUAAAUUUGAUCUUUACUGGUCUUCAAAUCAAUGGUUAGAAUAUCUGAUUAGCAAUGGCGGUGUUCCGUGUUUAAUUCCCCGACCAAUGAUUUUCCUUUCCUUUCCCAAUACAAACUAUAUUAAUAAAUUCAAUACAUUAUUUUUCAAAAAAGAACUGCACUAUCAGCAUUAAAACAGAACAUAAACUCUACAACAACAAAGCCCUUAAGAUCAAUAGGAAGUGGUGAUGAGGGCAUAUAAUUUGAUAAAGAGGACUAUUGUCAUCAGCUGAAAACAAACGCUACGUGUAUCGAAGUAAGUGAUACGAUUGUGUGUUUUAAGUAAAUCACCCCCCCCCCCCAUGUUUAUCUGGUGCGAGAACAGGUCACAGAACAUCGAAUAUCCCCAUGUUUACUGAUUGUCAGUUCAAUGGUUAGAACAUCUGAUCAGCAAUGUCGGUGUUCCGUGUUUAAUUCCCGGCCAGUGUUUUCCUUUCCUUUUCCAGUACACAUUACAUUAAUCAUUUCAAUUCAUUAUUUUUUCAAAACAGAAAUGCACCAUCAGCAGUAAAACAGAACAUAUAAUCUACAACAACAAAACCCUCGUGAUCAAUAGGAAGUGGUGAUGAGAGCAUAACGUUUGAUAAAGAGAAGUGUUGUCCUGCACUGUAAACUAUCACCAAAUAUCGCCAAGUAAUAUGCUAUGACGUACCAAGUACAUUAAUCACCCAAUGAUUAGUUAUGUAGGGACAGGUCGCAGUAUCUUAGUGGUUAGGGUGUUCUUGUCGUAGUUAAGGUCAUUGGUCUUUGAAUGUGACCUUAAAUCCGAGUCCCUGUGUUUAAUAAGCAUAGCUACGAUAACGGACCUUUACCGAUGUUUAGUAAGACGUUGAGACAAUAAAGGACCUUAAUCAGUGUUUAGGUAGACAUUGAGACGGUACAGAACCUUUACAACUGUUUAGAUAGACGUUGAAACGAUAAAGUGCCUUUAUCGGUGUUUAGGUAGACGUUGAGACGAUAAAGUCAUUGGUCUUUGAAUGUGACCUUAAAACCGAGUCCCAGGGGUUAGGUGGGCAACAAUACGAUAAAGGACCAUCACCGAUGUUUAGGAAAACAUUAAGACGACAUAGGACCUUUAUCAGUGUUUAGGUAUUCAUUGAGACGAUAAAGGGCCUUUACCGGUGUUUAGGUAUUCAUUGAGACGAUAAAGGGCCUUUACCGGUGUUUAGGUAUUCAUUGAGACAAUAACGGGCCUUUAUCAGUGAGGUCCUGAGCGUCAUGUAUAGGUUAAAAAAUUUGACACCUCACUUAAAACUAUUUUCCUUUGCUUGAGUAAAACAAGACCCACACAGACGUUAUCGACCAUCUGAGUUAACGGAGUACGUACCACUAUGAAAUAUGUAAGGCAAAGAACGUCUUCUACACAUUAAAGAAAAUGUUAUUUGAAUGUUUAUUUUAAAAAAAAUAUGCCGGGUUUCGUCCCGCCAUUGAGUCCAAACUUCUACCCAAGGAAUCAUAACAAUACGUGAUAGAGACAUGUCUGCUGUUUAUGAUUAUUUUUAUAGAAAAUUCCACAAAUCUUCCUAUAUCUCUGUAUUAAAGAAAAAAACUAGACACACCGGAAAUCAUUGUCAAAAUGAUCGCUAUCGGCGCUGUCUAGAGCAUUGACUUUCCAAUUACAAUUAUUUUUUUCUCAAUGAGAGCCGCACAACGAGUAUUCGGGAUAAUCUUAACCUCUCAGCUUUCACCUGAACACCUGUUAGUAGAAUGCACCAGAUUGUGUAGAUAUCGAUGGUCUGUUGUGCAGAAUAUUGUGUAAAUAUGAUUAUAUCUUGAAUAUACCAAGUUCUUAAUAUUUUUCUGUUAACAAAUAAAAUGUCCUAUAUGAACCAAGAGCUUGAUAACAAAAUGUGUCUGAAUAUAAUGACAUAAAUUCAUACACCAAGUGCAGCUCUUGAUCAACGCCGUCUGUCGUUUAAGUGCCUACUUACAAUGGAUGACUGUAUGAAGCUCUCAUUUUGCACACUCUUAAAAUGAAACGGAUAUUUUGGCCACGUGUUUAUGAGUUAUCUGCCUUAAGAACAGCACUUCACGAAGUGAAUCCUGAUCUGUAUGUAAACUACAGGAAGAGGGCUAUGACCUGCACAUUUUACAUCAUUUCGCUGAUUUCCAUAAAACUUAAAUGACUUGUGGAGAUUUUCAGCUUUUAAUAUGUGUCCCAAUAAAGUAUCAUUGUAAGCCAUCUUCUCCAAUAGAGUUGUGUCCCUUACUAGAGAUGGAAUGAGGUACAUGGAAGCAAAAUAUGAAAUAAGUGACAGACAUACGAUAUAUAAGUUUGAAAAGCUUACAUUUCCUAUCAAUCCGAUGUUGUUCCCACAUCUUACAUUAAUUUCAAACUUGUUUUUCGCAACAUUCCAAAAUAAUGAAAUAGAAAUACAUAAAUUUGUCGAAUGGCGCAUCUGGUGCAUCAAAAUUGGUACCGUAUAAGUUUUACAUUAUGACCCCUGGGUCGAGGCCUCUGUUGGUGGACUGUUAGUCCCCGAGGGUCUCUACAGCCCAGUAGCUAAGUACUUCGUUACUAGCUUGAAAAUACGGAUGUAUAUUUAAUUGCUGUGAUAAAAUUUAGAAAUUCAUUUCAAAAUUGAGGAUUAUCUCCUCAUGCAUAGCUCUUAUCCUUGGACAAAUUUGACUCCACUUUUUGGCCCACUGUUUUUGCCUAUAAUAGCUCUAAAACGUCAUUGUUAUUUCGGAUUUCAAAAUUUCGGUUGAGCAUCACUGAAGAGAUAUGAUUUGUCGAAAUGCGCAUCUGGUGCAUCAAAAUUGGUACCGUAUGAGUUUUACAACAUAAUCCUGGAUAAAGUUAUAUAAAUUUCCCUGUUCUACUUUAUAGGUGGCCUUGAUAUCGAUCCCUCGUUCAGACAAAGAAUCAAAAUUAAUUUCGAACGCUAUGUAUUGUACAAUGGUUUAGGCUUUUUAUCAAUAUUAGUCCUACCAAGGAUGAACAAAUGUUAAUAUCUUUGAAGUGUAAGAAACAGUUAAAUAGUACUAAAAUUACUGAACCAUAUCGACCGGGACAAAUAGGAACAUCAAGUCAGCACCCGGUGAAAAACGAAAAAAUAAUGAAUUCGACACUCUUUUAACACUAUUUUAACUGGGCGCCUAGUGAGCUUGGUAUCAGAAAAUGGUCAACUCAGCACCUGGUUUGGUUACUGAAACACUUAUUUUGUAAAUUUAUAAAGGGAGAUAAGAAAGCGAGGUUGUGUUGUGAAACACUAUGCCCUCGACCGUAACAAAGACCAAUAAAAUGGUAUACACUUUGGCGACAAAAAAGUGAAAGUUUUGGUGAGUUAAAGUUUUGAAUUAAGAAUCAAACUCCAAGAUCAAUAUCACAAGGUCAAAUGUGUAUUAGCUAAUGAAAGGUCUAGGCGAAAUGAAUCUGCUGGAGAUAAUAUACGUACCUUGAACAGGAAGAAGAUAUUGUCUGUAAACUUUUCAAGAUUAUAGGUGGGUUUAUGUAACUUGGAGCAUAGAUAGCAAUUAUGAAGAUAAAAUCCAAAACUAUUUUCUUAACUAUUAUUACCGGCAUUCUUUCUCUCAAAAAGAGGUUCCAGAUGGCCUCGUCUUUAGAUUGUUCAGUGGAGAGAACACCUGGCCAGUAAUGUAAGAGUACCGGGUUCAAUUCCUAGCCUAGCGAUAUAUAUUGUCCUACAAAAAAUGCAUUAAACAUUUUUUUUUAUUUCUAAAUGCAGUAUUUGCAGUAAUACAGGAUCUAAGAUGAACAGCAUUUCAUUGAUAUCAAUUAGAACACAUUUAUUGUACAAGAAACAGGGGAGAAUGAAACACUUUGACAACAACAGAGUCCUCAUAACAAUAGGAAGUGGUGACACAAACUUUUACAAGAGAGAGGAAAGAAACUCAUCUACGACAAUACAAUCUUUACAUCAACAGGAAGUGGUGAUUGGAACGUUUUAUGGGAUGAGUACACAGAGUCUAGUGAAGAGGACUGUUGUGCUGUACCGGACACUAUCGCUAAGUGCACAAUUAGAGUUAACAAAACAAGUACAUACAAUCUGUCUAUGGUUUUUCCAUGUGGAAAUAGGUCGCGAAGAUGCUUCGAGUUGAAAGUCAUUGACCUUUGGAUAUGAUAUUGAAAUAGAGGUCUCGUGUCGUGCUGAGUGUUGGUAGGCUAACGAAACCUAACUGCGACCACACUGACACUAUAGUUGAUUCAUUAAACAAUUGCUCACAACAGUUACUUUUGCAUCACCUCGGAAUUCGUUUAUAGAUGAAGAACAUGGAUGAAGCAGCAAUUUAUACUGUGUCGUCUGAAGAAUUGAAUGUCUCCCAAAAUGUCACAAACAGCCAUGUCUACAGUUUGAUGUUUUCGAAACAUUAUGAUAUACAAAUUAUUUAUCUUCAAAAUUACCUUCUAAAAGUAUUUAAAGGGGAGUAACUCUUAGAUCUACUAUAAUCUGAUACACUGCAUUCAGUAGAAAACUAAAUGAAUUACUCGACAAACGUUAAUUCCAGUGUUCACCAUAACGACCAGUCGUGUGGGACAAAUCAUCAAGAUGAUGUAUGCAGCCUGCUCAUUGACAUCCAAAUCAAACUUCAUACGAAACGUCAUAAGUACAGUAGGAUUAUGUAGCCUGCUCAAUGACAUCCAAAUCAAACUUCAUACGAAACAUCGUAAGUACAGUAGGAUUAUGUAGCCUGCUCAAUGACAUCCAAAUCAAACUUCAUACGAAACGUCAUAAGUACAGAAGGAUUAUGUAGCCUGCUCAAUGACAUCCAAAUCAAACUUCAUACGGAACAUCGUAAGUACAGUAGGAUUAUGUAGCCUGCUCAAUGACAUCCAAAUCAAACUUCAUAAGUACAGUAGGAUUAUGUAGUCUGAUAUUGAUGGAAUUGAUGGAUUGUCUCAUUUUACACCAUCAAUUUAAUUUACCCAUCCUUUUAUUGACUAUUGUUCUAAUAAAUCGACCCUUUAUAGCAUAA